GCUUUUCUAGUAUAGACAAUACAAGUGACUUCCAAUCACUAAACCCCAGCACCCCGCCUGGGGAAAAGCA
rnacentral:tRNA from 1 species